rnacentral:rRNA from 1 species
UGAGUACAAGAUGCUACGGCAUUGAAGCAGUCUAUGUCAUACUUCCAAGAAAAGCUUGCAAUGUCAUAAACAAAUAAUGCCUGUACCAUAACCGACACAGGUGGGUAGGUAGAGUAUACUAAGGGGCGCGAGAUAACUCUCUCUAAGGAACUCGGCAAAAUGACUCCGUAACUUCGGGAGAAGGAGUACCUUAUUUUAUAAGGUUGCAAUAACAAGGUCCAAGCAACUGUUUACCAAAAACACAGGUCUCCGCUAAGUCGUAAGACGAUGUAUGGGGGCUGACGCCUGCCCAGUGCCAGAAGGUUAAAGAAGUUGGUUAGCAUUAGCGAAGCUGAUAACUGAAGCCCUGGUGAACGGCGGCCGUAACAAUAACGGUCCUAAGGUAGCGAAAUUCCUUGUCGGGUAAGUUCCGACCCGCACGAAAGGCGUAAUGAUUUGGAUACUGUCUCGGAGAGGGGCUCGGUGAAAUAGACUUGUCUGUGAAGAUGCGGACUACCUGCACCUGGACAGAAAGACCCUAUGAAGCUUUACUGUAACUUGAGAUUGAAAUUGGACUUUAUUUGCGCAGUAUAGGUGGGAGACCUCGAAAGUAUUCUUGCGGGAAUAUUGGAGUCAUCAGUGAGAUACCACUCUUAUAAUGUUAGAUUUCUAACUUUGUAUCAUUAUCUGGUCAAAGAACAGUUACAGGCGGGCAGUUUGACUGGGGCGGUCGCCUCCCAAAUGGUAACGGAGGCGCACAAAGGUUUCCUCUGAACGUGUAGAAAUCGUAUCUAGAGUGUAAAGGCAUAAGGAAGCUUGACUGUGAGACCUACAAGUCGAGCAGGGACGAAAGUCGGUCUUAGUGAUCUGACGGUGCUGAGUGGAAAGGCCGUCACUCAACGGAUAAAAGUUACUCUAGGAUAACAGGCUGAUCUCCCCCAAGAGUUCACAUCGACGGGGAGGUUUGGCACCUCGAUGUCGGCUCAUCGCAUCCUGGGGCGGUAGUACGUCCCAAGGGUUGGGCUGUUCGCCCAUGAAAGCGGUACGCGAGCUGGGUUCAGAACGUCGUGAGACAGUUCGGUCCAUAUCCGGUGUAGGCGUUAGAAUAUUGAGAGGAGCCUUCUUUAGUACGAGAGGACCGAGAAGGACAUACCUCUGGUGUACCAGUUAUCGUGCCAACGGUAAACGCUGGGUAGCUAUGUAUGGAGAGGAUAACCGCUGAAAGCAUCUAAGUGGGAAGCCCACCUCAAGAUAAG